UUACGGGAGGCAGCAGUGGGGAAUCUUGCGCAAUGGACGAAAGUCUGACGCAGCGACGCCGCGUGGGUGAUGAAGGCCUUCGGGUUGUAAAGCCCUGUGGGGGGAGACGAAUAAGUAGAAGCUAAUACCUUCUAUGAUGACGGUAUCUCCUUAGCAAGCACCGGCUAACUCUGUGCCAGCAGCCGCGGUAAGACAGAGGGUGCAAACGUUGUUCGGAAUUACUGGGCGUAAAGCGUGUGUAGGCGGCCACGUAAGUCGGAUGUGAAAGCCCCAGGCUCAACCUGGGAAGUGCACUCGAUACUGCGUGGCUUGAGUAUCGGAGAGGUUGGUGGAAUUCUCGGUGUAGAGGUGAAAUUCGUAGAUAUCGAGAAGAACACCGGUGGCGAAGGCGGCCAACUGGACGAAUACUGACGCUGAGACACGAAAGCGUGGGGAGCAAACAGGAUUAGAUACCCUGGUAGG
rnacentral:rRNA from 1 species